AAAUCUUACCGGGUCCGGACACACUGAGGAUUGACAGGUGUUUCGUGAAGGCUCUUUCAUAUAUUUAGUUUGUAAGCUUGCUUACUUACUUCUUUAUGUGUUUGAGCUUAUCACAAUUUCAAAUAUGCUAGUCCUUUCAUGAUUGUGUGAUAGGUGGUGCAUGGCCGUUCUUAGUUCGUGGAGUGAUCUGUCUGCUUAAUUGCGUUUCACUUAUGGCAUGAGUGUGUUACUUCGAGAUUCAUUUGUGACCUCUCUUUUCUUUGACGAGAAUUGAGAUUGCGUCCGGUUUCUUGAAUGCGCGCCAUUGCCUCGAAGGCAACGAACGUGACCGCAACCUCUUGUUGCCUCUCUUGUGUUGUAAAGGCCUUUUAGAUUGAAAUUUAUUUCUUUAUAAGAGUGUUCUUUUACUUCACACAUGUAUAAGGCUUCUGUUAUUUGGUUUAUCUUGCUCUCAUACUUCCGUAUGUGAGUAAGAUAAAUUUAAAGGCAGUUUUGUUCUUAUAUUUUAUUGUAGUAGAGGGAAACUAGAGGGACCGCUGACAUUUCUUAAACCAGAGGAAGGUUGCGGCAAUAA
rnacentral:rRNA from 1 species